CGCGCUCCCUGGGACGCCGCAUCCGCAGCCGCCGCGACGCGGGCAGCCCGGGAUGGCCCGCGCGGCCCUCUCCUUCUCUAUCCACCCGGCACCCGGCGCCCGGCGCACCCCGCCCGCGGCGGCCUGGGGAUGGCUCGCGGGUGGUUCUCCCGAGCGCGGGUGCCCUCGCGGCCGGCCGGGAGGAGGAGCAGCAGGAGGGGGCGGGAGGGGAUGCGAAAGUGGGUCAGGAAUGUAACUGGACGCUGCGCACCCCCACGCACCCCCUCCCCCAGGGCCGGCCGCGCGGCCGCGCCAGCCUCUUGCUGUUGUGGUUCCCCAGCAUUAUCGGCGGAUGGUUACCAGGGGUUCCCGAGGGAUGUGUUUCCCGGUGACCCUUUGGGUAGAAAAACUUAGUUGCCUCAGUAACCGAGUUUGGCUUGGAUGCGAUGAUGCAGUGAGGGCUCUAGGUGAGCGUGGCCGAGCAGUUGCACUCGGGGGUGGAUUAACUUUUCUAAUUACUGAACCACGACGGGAAGGGAAAGCUGGAGAGAAGGUGGGGUUUUGCCCUGCUUCGUGUUUGUUGUUGUACAUUUCAGAGAACCUAAAUCCACGUUUUUGCCUUAGCGUUUGAGUCCACCACUGCAGGCCCCGGUUGCCAUAAAUUCAGCAGAGUUCCUAGCCAACGCUCACUUAGUGGAUACAAAGGCUCGAAGUUGCUGUCUCAGGGUUGGAAGGGGCCAGGGGGACGCUGACAGUUUUGUAUUUGGGCAGGGCCUGAGGAACAAACACGAAGAGGCCUUUAUUAAAAGGAGAAGAAAAAACAAAUGGAAAAAAAAAGCCCCAAACCCAGCCCUCCUCAAAGCAGAAGAAGUGAGAGCAGCCCAGUUAGUUCCGUCUGGAGCCUAGUGGCAUCUCACACCCCAAGCAUGUGAUUCGGGAGGGAGUAUGCAGAUUUUAAGUGAUGGGCUUGGGGAGUUCCUGUUGCGGCAUAGUGGGUUAAGAACCUGACUAGUAUCCAUGAGGAUGUGGGUUGGAUCCCUGGCCUUGCUCAGUGAGUUAAGGCUACACCUCCCCAGGGUGUAGGUUGCAGAAGCUCCUCCGGUCCCCGCGGCCAUGGCUGUGGUGUGGGCAGGCAGCUGCUGUUCCGAUUCAGCCCCUAGCCUGGGAACUUGCAAGUGCCACAGGUGCGGCCCUAAAAAGACAACAAAUAAUACAUAAACAGUAAAGUGAUGGGCUCGAGGUUUGCAUUGCUGGUGACACAGACCAAGUCCAGGGAAAAAUCAUCGUAAAGAUGAGAGUGCAAAGAGAAAGCUUGGCGGUGUUUGCCACCCAGACUCUUGUUGAUCACCCUUCCAGAGAGGUGUGGCAUUUUUUUCCUCCUGCUGGUUUUGUUGCAUAGUACAAGACAGGGUAGCGGAAGCCAGGCCCAAAGAGCCCAAGACGCUUCACUCUGAGGAGCAAUGUGCACCUCCUGAAGUUUUAUUCACAAGCCCAGAGGAGUGUGUUAUCCUCCAAAGAGAUCUGAAGAGCUCUCUGAAAAGCUGACUCAGGAAUUAAUGUAAAUUUCUGUUUCCAGGGCAACCCCAGAUAAAGCAAACUAAAGGGAGAUGUAUUUUGCAUUAAAGAGCCUGUCCUCAUAGGAAGCUAAAACUGAUAAACUGAGGUUGUAUAAAUCAAAUCAUACCCUAAAUUUAUACAUGAGAGGGGAAGUUACCUUGUGAAGAGCGUUGUGAAAAAUCUGAUCGUCUCUCGUCUAAUUUUAUUUUGAAAAACUACAGUUUUUUCAGUAGUACAGUGGGAGUGAGAAUACUAAUGGUUGGUAUUCUUUGCGGGGGUGAACUGACCUUGUUACAUUCUAGAUCAAGGAGCUUUAAAUUCAACUGGCAGAACAUCUAUCUCUCUUUUUCCCUCUUAUGGUGCUUUGGUGAACUGUUAGAACAGCUGAAGUUGGAAACUGACCAAUUCCAUACACCGAAUGGUCUUGGAUUUGAAUGAAAGUGGCAGAGCUACACAGAACUUUCUAGAAACUUAAAAAAAAAAAAAAAAAAA
rnacentral:lncRNA from 1 species